CCUACGGGAGGCAGCAGUAGGGAAUAUUGCUCAAUGGGGGAAACCCUGAAGCAGCAACGCCGCGUGGAGGAUGAAGGUUCUCGGAUUGUAAAAUCCUUUUGUUAGAGAAGCUAAUGACGGUAUCUGACGAAUAAGCACCGGCUAACUCCGUGACAGCAGCCGCGGUAAUACGGGGGGUGCAAGCGUUACUCGGAAUCACUGGGCGUAAAGAGCGCGUAGGCGGGAUAGUAAGUCAGGUGUGAAAUCCUAUGGCUUAACCAUAGAACUGCAUUUGAAAAUGGUAUUCUAGAGGAUGGGAGAGGUAGGUGGAAUGCUUGGUGUAGGGGUAAAAUGCGUAGAGAUCAAGAGGAAUACUCAGUGCGAAGGCGACCUGCUGGAACUUAACUGACGCUGAGGUGCGAAAGCGUGGGGAGCAAACAGGAUUAGAUACCCCUGUAGUC
rnacentral:rRNA from 1 species